UUCGUCUCCUAUCUUUAUAUUCGCUUUUCUUCCCUUGCAUAAGUGAUAAUUGCAUACCUACUUUAAAUUUUUUCCUUUGUUUAUUUAGAUGUUACACUCAAGCGAGACACCCUGUAUAUACACUAAAGAAUUAAUUUGAAAAGUUGUCUAUGGUAGGGUGACACCCCUCCUUUGGUGAGGUUUGCCCUUUGCCCUCCUCACUGAUCGUGUCCUAUGUUCUCUUUUCGAAUGAUAAGUUGUCCUACUUUCUAACAAUUUCAGCAAAAAUUUGUGUGGUUCUGCACCGUACUGUUUAAGCUUUUUUAAUAUGUAUGUUAAUCAUUAAUGUUUGUAUUAUCUGUAGGUAGGUAUAUGGUACUUACGAUUAGAUAAUAAAUAGUCGAAGUAAUUAAUUUUUCUAAAAAAGAUUGGUUUUGUUCUCAAAAAUGCCCGCCAUACAUAAUAAUCUACUUAUGUAUGUACAUAGAGAAGGAAGUCAACAUGUAGUAUAUAAGAAAGGAAUGUGAUAACAAUUUGUAUGGUAGAUAUGAUUGGGCGACUUACGGGAACAAAUACCAAAAAUGUCAGACUUGUGUAUGCGCUUCUCCGUGGUGGUUUAUACCGUUUUCAUAUACAGUGAACUAGUUUCCACUAUUUCCAAAUAUAUAGUGAUUGUUUUUAUGUAUUUUACGUUGAUAAGAAGUCACUUCAAGGAUUGUUAUUUAGCGAGCUUAUCUGAUAAUAAAAUGUUGAGGACGAACCUGGAGAGGCACUACAGACUACAGGUUAUAUGAAGUCGAGAAGACGAAGCAGUGAUUUAAAAAAAUAUAAAGGAGUAAAUAAAGACUCUGAGUGGUGGAAGAUGUGGGCUUUGAGAAUGGCGAUGCCGUUGUUGGGGGUGCUGGUCUGGGUGAUCUCCAGCCAUGCAGGCACCUUCACACUAGCAUCCUUUAUACCACACUACUUCGAAGGUACAAGCCGCACUUAUACCCUAGUAGUGUUAGUUUAAAAGCACCAUGUGUCUAUAUAUGCACAUAUUAAUUUAAAUUUCUUAUUUAUAUUAUUUAUUGAAAAAUAACAAAAAGUUCGGGAUCAACGUUCUGUUGGAACUUAUUUGCUCUCAUCAGCACGCCAGUGCUAAUAGGAUGAUACUGAUCAAAGUUACUGCGCGGGAAAGAACCUAAUGCAAACUUAAAACAAAUAUUUAGAAUUAGUUUUCAA
rnacentral:misc_RNA from 1 species